UACGGCCAUGUCAAUUUCAAAACAUCGGUUCUCAUACAAUUACAGACGUUAAGCAACGGCGAGCUUGGUCAGUAUCUAGAUGGGUAACCGCUUGAGAAUACCCGGUGCUGCAA